GACGGAGGAUGCAAGCGUUAUCCGGAAUGAUUGGGCGUAAAGCGUCCGCAGGUGGCAGUUCAAGUCUGCUGUCAAAGACCGGGGCUUAACUUCGGAAAGGCAGUGGAAACUGAACAGCUAGAGUAUGGUAGGGGCAGAGGGAAUUCCUGGUGUAGCGGUGAAAUGCGUAGAGAUCAGGAGGAACACCGGUGGCGAAGGCGGCAUCCUGGACCGGCAUUGACGCUGAGGCGCGAAAGCCAGGGGAGCAAACGGG
rnacentral:rRNA from 1 species